AUGCUUAACACAUGCAAGUCGAACGUGCCUUCGGGCAAGUGGCAGACGGCUGAGUAACGCGUGAGUAACACACCCUUCGGUGGGGUAUAGCCUCGGGAAACUGAGGGUAAUCCCGCAUACGAUCCCUACGCCCUGGUGUAGGGAUGAAAGCCUUCGGGCGCCGGAGGAGUGGCUCGCGUCCUAUCAGGUAGUUGGUGAGGUAACGGCUCACCAAGCCGAUGACGGGUAGCUGGUCUUAGAGGACGAUCAGCCAGAGGGGGACUGAGACACGGCCCCCACUCCUACGGGAGGCAGCAGCAGGGAAUUUUGGGCAAUGGACGAAAGUCUGACCCAGCGACGUCGCGUGGGGGAUGAAGGCUCUAGGGCUGUAAACCCCUUUUCCGAGGGAAGAGGAAGGACGGUACCUCGGGAAUAAGCUCCGGCUAACUACGUGCCAGCAGCCGCGGUAAUACGUAGGGAGCGAGCGUUACCCGGAAUUACUGGGCGUAAAGAGCACGUAGGCGGUUGGAUAAGUCUUCUGUGAAAGCUCCUGGCUCAACUGGGAGAGGUCAGGGGAUACUAUUCGACUUGAGGGCUGUAGAGGUAAGCGGAAUUCCCGGUGUAGCGGUGAAAUGCGUAGAUAUCGGAAGGAACACCAGUGG
rnacentral:rRNA from 1 species